AGCUUGCUACCUGACCUAGCGGCGGACGGGUGAGUAAUGCUUAGGAAUCUGCCUAUUAGUGGGGGACAACAUUCCGAAAGGAAUGCUAAUACCGCAUACGCCCUACGGGGGAAAGCAGGGGAUCUUCGGACCUUGCGCUAAUAGAUGAGCCUAAGUCAGAUUAGCUAGUUGGUGGGGUAAAGGCCUACCAAGGCGACGAUCUGUAGCGGGUCUGAGAGGAUGAUCCGCCACACUGGGACUGAGACACGGCCCAGACUCCUACGGGAGGCAGCAGUGGGGAAUAUUGGACAAUGGGCGAAAGCCUGAUCCAGCCAUGCCGCGUGUGUGAAGAAGGCCUUUUGGUUGUAAAGCACUUUAAGCGAGGAGGAGGCUACUUGGAUUAAUACUCUAGGAUAGUGGACGUUACUCGCAGAAUAAGCACCGGCUAACUCUGUGCCAGCAGCCGCGGUAAUACAGAGGGUGCGAGCGUUAAUCGGAUUUACUGGGCGUAAAGCGUGCGUAGGCGGCUUCUUAAGUCGGAUGUGAAAUCCCUGAGCUUAACUUAGGAAUUGCAUUCGAUACUGGGAAGCUAGAGUAUGGGAGAGGAUGGUAGAAUUCCAGGUGUAGCGGUGAAAUGCGUAGAGAUCUGGAGGAAUACCGAUGGCGAAGGCAGCCAUCUGGCCUAAUACUGACGCUGAGGUACGAAAGCAUGGGGAGCAAACAGGAUUAGAUACCCUGGUAGUCCAUGCCGUAAACGAUGUCUACUAGCCGUUGGGGCCUUUGAGGCUUUAGUGGCGCAGCUAACGCGAUAAGUAGACCGCCUGGGGAGUACGGUCACAAGACUAAAACUCAAAUGAAUUGACGGGGGCCCGCACAAGCGGUGGAGCAUGUGGUUUAAUUCGAUGCAACGCGAAGAGCCUUACCUGGUCUUGACAUAGUAAGAACUUUCCAGAGAUGGAUUGGUGCCUUCGGGAACUUACAUACAGGUGCUGCAUGGCUGUCGUCAGCUCGUGUCGUGAGAUGUUGGGUUAAGUCCCGCAACGAGCGCAACCCUUUUCCUUAUUUGCCAGCGAGUAAUGUCGGGAACUUUAAGGAUACUGCCAGUGACAAACUGGAGGAAGGCGGGGACGACGUCAAGUCAUCAUGGCCCUUACGACCAGGGCUACACACGUGCUACAAUGGUCGGUACAAAGGGUUGCUACCUAGCGAUAGGAUGCUAAUCUCAAAAAGCCGAUCGUAGUCCGGAUUGGAGUCUGCAACUCGACUCCAUGAAGUCG
rnacentral:rRNA from 1 species